UAGGGAAUCUUCGGCAAUGGACGGAAGUCUGACCGAGCAACGCCGCGUGAGUGAAGAAGGUUUCCGGAUCGUAAAGCUCUGUUGUUAGAGAAGAACGUUGGUAGGAGUGGAAAAUCUACCAAGUGACGGUAACUAACCAGAAAGGGACGGCUAACUACGUGCCAGCAGCCGCGGUAAUACGUAGGUCCCGAGCGUUGUCCGGAUUUAUUGGGCGUAAAGCGAGCGCAGGCGGUUCUUUAAGUCUGAAGUUAAAGGCAGUGGCUUAACCAUUGUACGCUUUGGAAAGUGGAGGACUUGAGUGCAGAAGGGGGGGGUGGAAUUCCAUGUGUAGCGGUGAAAGGCGUAGAUAUAUGGAGGAACACCGGUGGCGAAGGCGGCUCUCUGGGCUGUAACUGACGCUGAGGCUCGAAAGCGUGGGGAGCAAACAGG
rnacentral:rRNA from 1 species